rnacentral:rRNA from 1 species
GUGAGGAAUUUUCCGCAAUGGGCGAAAGCCUGACGGAGCAAUGCCGCGUGAAGGAUGAAGGCCUAUGGGUUGUAAACUUCUUUUCUCAGAAAAGAAUUAUGACGGUAUCUGAGGAAUAAGCAUCGGCUAACUCUGUGCCAGCAGCCGCGGUAAGACAGAGGAUGCAAGCGUUAUCCGGAAUGAUUGGGCGUAAAGCGUCUGUAGGUUGUUUAAAAAGUAUUCUGUCAAAGAUUAGGGCUUAACCCUAGAUAGGCAGAAUAAACUUUUAAGCUAGAGUGUGGUAGAGGCAGAGGGAAUUCCCGGUGGAGCGGUGAAAUGCGUAGAUAUCGGGAGGAACACCAAAGGCGAAGGCACUCUGCUGGGCCAAUACUAACACUGAGAGACGAAAGCGAGGGGAGCAAAUGGGAUUAGAUACCCCUGUAGUCC